AUGGCGGGGAGUGGGAAGGAGGCUUUAAUUAAGUCGGUCGCUCAAGCAAUGCCAAAUUUUUCAAUGUCAUGUUUUCUAUUACCUAGGGGUUUGUGCCAGCAAAUUGACACGAUGUUAAGGAAGUUUUCCUGGGGGAGUAAGAAUGGAGAAAGGGAAGUCGCGUGGGUCUCAUGGGACAAGCUUACCAUGCCAAAGUACCAAGGGGGUUUAGGCUUUCGAGAUAUGGAGCUCUUCAACCUUGCAAUGUUCGCCAAGCAAGGUUGGAGGCUACUUCAGGACCCUAGUGCACUAAGCGCUAGAAUUUUAAAGGUUGUUUAUUAUCCACAAGGAGAUGUGCUUGCAUCUGAUUUGGGUUCUCAUCCAUCUCAGGUGUGGCAUGCGAUUCAUGUUGGGCUACAUGUUUUGAAACAAGGCCUAAUUAAGCGUGUUGGAGAUGGUCAGUCCAUUAAGAUCUGGGAGGAUAAUUGGAUUCCAAGGGACAACAUGUUGAGAACUCUACAUCCUAAAACAACUGACCCUCCAAUCAUGGUCAGUGAGUUGAUAGAAAAUGCGACCAAGUAUUGGAACAAACAACUAGUCCAGGAACAUUUGCAGCCCAUUGAUGCUUCGGUUGUGCUAAAUAUUCCUUUGAGUUACCGAAAUUCAGAAGAUAGCUGGGCAUGGCAUUAUGAGCGGACUUGUAUCUUCACUGUCCGCUCGGCAUAUCGUCUACUAGUGGACACAAAGAGGAGGCGGGAAAACUGGCUGGAAGGGCGAGCGGAAUCGUCCAACACUAUGGCAGCUCAUGGUCAGUGGAAGAAGUUAAGGAAGUUCGAGUUCAAGGUCAAAUUAAGCUCUUUGCAUGUCGUUUGGCUCGCAACUCGGUCCCAACCGAAUCUUUACGUCACCAUAGGAACAUGGCAGAUGCUGAUGUGUGUCCAAUCUGUAACAGUGCGGUUGAUGACUGGAGACAUGCACUGA
rnacentral:rRNA from 1 species